UCCAGGUGCCCACGGAGUAAUCACCCAGGUCGAGGCUGACAUCGAUUCGUCUUUUCCACUCACCCUCCCUGACGACUGGAAUCAUAACAGGGCAGAAGGUAAGGAGAGUCUCCCAAGUUUACCGCCAGGUUCUCAGGGGGUGCUUCCAAAAAUUUAAACAAAGUUAAACAGGGAAAAGAUAGUCUGGCCACCUUCCUGGAAAGUUUGCUAGAGGCAUACCGCAUACCUCUAUAAGUCUUUUGACCCCACUGCUCAAGAGAACCAGACUGCCAUCACCAUGGACUUUUGUCAACCAGUCUUCAUUGGAUCUACACAAAAAGCUUCAAAAUGGACAACUGACUUGGACCAGGCUGCUGCAAGGGCUCAAAAAUUUGCCCUCCAUCUUCGCUGAAGCAUUACAUGAGGACUUGGGUGAGUACAGGCAUGCCCACCCAACAUUACUCUUUUUACAGUAUGUGGAUGACCUACCUAGUGGCUGCUUCAGAUUUAGACGCCUGUCAUCAAGCUGUGACAGACCUGCUGCAAGAUCUGGCCAGUCUGGGUAUCGACUAUGAAAGCUCAGCUCUGCCUUAAGGAGCCCAUCCUUAGCACUCAACACAGCCACCCUUUUGCCAGAUCCAGCAUGAGCGCUCCAUCGUGCUACAACAUCCAAAAUCUGACUGGAUCUGACUUACAUCCCACGGCCAGACGAAGCUUGAGUCCUCUUCACCGACGGGAGCAGCUUUGUCCAAGACGGCACCAGGCCUUAAGAGACCAGCAUCACUGAGGUGAAAUCUCCUGGGAAGUGUUUUUCUCAGUCAGCACAUAGAAGCUGUAUUCCAGAACUGGGUGAGGAUGUGCCUCAUGCUGGCAUUUGAACUUGGUUGUGUAAGAGUCACCCAGGUGGUACUGGUUUGGAAGGCGGUACUGGUUUGGAAGGCACGAGGGAGUCAUGGAGAGCAGCUGAGGCUUGGCACCAGGAAAAAAGCCUAUGAGAGGCUGUUGGUGAAAGAGCAGCCCAGUUGCAGCAGAAGACCCUGGUGUUUUGGAGAUGCCAGUGCUAUGGAUGACCACCGAGAACAGCAGCAGCAGUGGAGGGAAGCCAGCUGGAGCCUAGAAGACAAACUGCAUGUGCUGCAGAGGGCAGGCUGGGCAAGUGACCAGAGUCCUUUGGAAGAGUCCAGGAGGCCGUGAAUGGAUCCCGGACAUUGGGCAAUUGGAGCUGAUAAGGACUUGCUCAACAGCUUCUCCAUAAUGGUCACCAGGAUACUCACCUGGGCCAAAGGAAAAUCAAAGACUUAUUAAGGAGGGGCAAAUAUAAGAUUUCUCACCUAGGUUGAUAAAAUCAUCUUAUUGUCCUGUAUGCCAGGCUGUCAAUGUCACUGGCUCAAAUCGAGGACUCACCAGGACUAGGGUAAGAGGCCAAUGCCCAGGAGCCCAAUUGGGAAAUAGAUUAGACUGAAAUAAAGCUAGGAAUGUAUGGCUAUAAGUACUUGCCAGUCUUUAUAGAUACCUUCUCAGGAUGCGUAGAGGCUUUCUCCACCAAGAAGGAAACUGCCAAUGUAGUGGCCAAGAGAAGAUGCUGGAAGACAUCCUAUGCAGGUAUGGAUUACCCACUCUCAGAGGGUCAGACAAUGGACCAGCUUUCAUCUCUCAGGUAACCCAGGGCCUAAUAAAAUAUGUUGGGGAUAAAUUGGAAACUUGAUUGUGCUGCUCAUCCCCAAAGUCCAGGUCAGGUAGAGAGAAUGAAUUGGACCCUAAAGGAGGCACUAACCAAAUUGACCCUUGAAACUGGCGGUAACUGAGCGGCCCUCCUUCCAUAUGCAUUGUACAAAGCAAAAAAUACAUCUUGUACUUUGGCUCUCUCUCCCUUUGAGAUCCUCUAUAGAGACCCCUCCCCUUCCUCCCAAUCUUCAGUCUGAGAUUCUUGCUGAAUGUGAUAGCCAAAAAUUUUUAGAAUCCCUACCAAGCAUUGCAUAAGACUCAGAAGAGUCUCUGGCCUUUCAAGAAAGAUUUGUGUCCAUUUCACCUCCUAACCCACAUUGCUUUGAACCAGGUGACAAGGUCUGGAUUAGGAGACAUAACCAUAAAGAUUUUGGAGCCAUGCUGGAAGGGACCUCACACAGCGAUCCUGAACACACCAACACAGUGCUGGCUGAGGAAGUCUGCAAAAAAGUGGGCAAGCAAGCAGAAGCUGGAGUCAGACACCCCUACUGCCAGCCCUGGCUGUGAAUGACCAGACGAUUGGGCUUCCCAACUUUUUAGGCACCACUGAGAGGCGCUGGCAAAGAGUCCUUGUCUUUUUGGUGUGGGAUGUGAGACUGAUUCAGAUGGUCCACAGCAUCAGACUAUUUGCUUCGUGCAGAACUCUUCACCAGCUACAGAGUUUAAAUCUGAGGACUCUGGAGAGAGGAUAAAUGCCAGAGUCAGAGUGGAGCUCCAAGAAAGAACAAGGCUGCUCCUCAUUUUCCCUUGCUGCUCCUAGUUGCUGUUGUGAAACAAAUUGAAGCUCUCCUGAAACAAGGAUUGGACUGGCUCCAAGGAACCCAACAACGACCCUAACCAGCAGGAAGCAGCUCAGAAAGAACUACGCCCCCUCUCCUACUAACCCUUUCUCUCUUCUACCUGGUGUUGGGGUGUGUUGGAAGGGAUUGGGGUGGAGUAGGGAGAAAAAAAUGCAAAUAAAGGUGUAUUUUUAAGUACA